rnacentral:rRNA from 1 species
UCGCUCAGGAUGAACGCCGGCGGUGUGCCUAAUACAUGCAAGUCGUACGCACUGGCCCAACUGAUUGAUGGUGCUUGCACCUGAUUGACGAUGGAUCACCAGUGAGUGGCGGACGGGUGAGUAACACGUAGGUAACCUGCCCCGGAGCGGGGGAUAACAUUUGGAAACAGAUGCUAAUACCGCAUAACAACAAAAGCCACAUGGCUUUUGUUUGAAAGAUGGCUUUGGCUAUCACUCUGGGAUGGACCUGCGGUGCAUUAGCUAGUUGGUAAGGUAACGGCUUACCAAGGCGAUGAUGCAUAGCCGAGUUGAGAGACUGAUCGGCCACAAUGGAACUGAGACACGGUCCAUACUCCUACGGGAGGCAGCAGUAGGGAAUCUUCCACAAUGGGCGCAAGCCUGAUGGAGCAACACCGCGUGAGUGAAGAAGGGUUUCGGCUCGUAAAGCUCUGUUGUUGGAGAAGAACGUGCGUGAGAGUAACUGUUCACGCAGUGACGGUAUCCAACCAGAAAGUCACGGCUAACUACGUGCCAGCAGCCGCGGUAAUACGUAGGUGGCAAGCGUUAUCCGGAUUUAUUGGGCGUAAAGCGAGCGCAGGCGGUUGCUUAGGUCUGAUGUGAAAGCCUUCGGCUUAACCGAAGAAGUGCAUCGGAAACCGGGCGACUUGAGUGCAGAAGAGGACAGUGGAACUCCAUGUGUAGCGGUGGAAUGCGUAGAUAUAUGGAAGAACACCAGUGGCGAAGGCGGCUGUCUGGUCUGCAACUGACGCUGAGGCUCGAAAGCAUGGGUAGCGAACAGGAUUAGAUACCCUGGUAGUCCAUGCCGUAAACGAUAGCAGU